UACAGAGGGUGCGAGCGUUGUCCGGAAUCACUGGGCGUAAAGGGCGCGUAGGUGGCUAGGUAAGCGUGUGGUGAAAGUCCGGGGCUCAACCCCGGAUCUGCCGUGCGAACUGCCAAGCUUGAGCGAUGUAGAGGCAGGUGGAAUUUCGGGUGUAGCGGUGGAAUGCGUAGAGAUCCGAAAGAACACCAGUGGCGAAGGCGGCCUGCUGGGCAUUUGCUGACACUGAGGCGCGACAGCGUGGGGAGCAAACAGGAUUAGAUACCCUGGUAGUCCACGCCGUAAACGAUGGGUACUAGGUGUCUGGGGGAGCGACCCCCUGGGUGCCGACGCUAACGCAUGAAGUACCCCGCCUGGGGAGUACGGCCGCAAGGCUGAA
rnacentral:rRNA from 1 species